UUCGUAGGGUGCGAGCGUUGUCCGGAAUUAUUGGGCGUAAAGAGCUCGUAGGCGGUGUGUCACGUCGGCCGUGAAAACCUGCAGCUUAACUGUGGGCGUGCGGUCGAUACGGGCAUCACUGGAGUUCGGCAGGGGAGACUGGAAUUCCUGGUGUAGCGGUGAAAUGCGCAGAUAUCAGGAGGAACACCGGUGGCGAAGGCGGGUCUCUGGGCCGAUACUGACGCUGAGGAGCGAAAGCGUGGGGAGCAAACAGG
rnacentral:rRNA from 1 species